GUUUAAACUUUAUGCUGCUGGUUGAUAAUCAACUCAUUUUUAACUUUUGAUCAAAUAUUUAAUUGGUUCAUGUGUUAACUCUUUUAUAAUUCUGACGAUAUUACUAUGGGAGAAACUGAAUGCUGAAAUAUAGAUCACGGGGAGAUUCUUUUCUUUAAUUUCACAAGAUUACAUUAUGUGGCUAUAAAUGUUUGGCCUUUGAUGAGC
rnacentral:misc_RNA from 1 species